UGCGAAGGACGAAGGAGGGUACUCAACUCGUGGUUGCCGGCAGGGUGGCGAGUGCUGGGCCGUGAGCGCCGAGAUGAAAUGACCAUAGAGCGCAGGCACUGCCGCCCAUACUGGCAGCACGGGCGUAGUUGUUCCCUCUAGUAGUAUUUACCACGACGCAGCGAGCCGUCUGCGGGAGCCAGGAGGGCCGAUCGUAAUGUACCGGACUGGUACCCUCGGGCAAAGAGGGGAAACCGGCGUGCGCUCCACUAUGCCUGGCUCUUUAGCGCGACGGCUAGCUGAAGGGGGGUCUCCUCUUCGGAGGCGGCCCCUCGCUGUGGAGUAGCGGUGAUCCACCUGACCCGUCUUGAAACACGGACCAAGGAGUCUAACCUGUGCGCGAGUCUAAGGGUUUCUCUCGAGACCUGGAGGCGCAAUGAAAGUGAGCGAAUUUCUCCGUGAGGAGAGUUCUAUGCUGGCCGAUCCCUGCUCUCCGGAGCGGGGCGCAGGCCGAGGACUCGCCGCUGAGCGGCCGCCUGCUCUGGCCUUGUCUGGCGCCAGCUGGACGGGGCUGUGCGGGCGGUCCGCUGGCG
rnacentral:rRNA from 1 species